UGCCAAGCAGCCGCGGUAAUUCCAGCUCCAAUAGCGUAUAUUAAAGUUGCUGCAGUUAAAAAGCUCGUAGCUGAACCUUGGGCCUGGUUGACCGGUCCGCCUAACGGUGUGCACUGGCUUGACCGGGCCUUUCCUUCUGGCUAGCCUGUAUGUCCUUUAUUGGGCGUGCAGGGGAACCAGGACUUUUACUUUGAAAAAAUUAGAGUGUUCAAAGCAGGCUUAUGCUCGAAUACAUUAGCAUGGAAUAAUAGAAUAGGACGUGUGGUUCUAUUUUGUUGGUUUCUAGGACCGCCGUAAUGAUUAAUAGGGACGGUUGGGGACAUUAGUAUUGAGUUGUCAGAGGUGAAAUUCUUGGAUUUACUCAAGACUAACUACUGCGAAAGCAUUUGUCAAGGAUGUUUUCAUUAGUCAAGAACGAAAGUUAGGGGAUCGAAGACGAUCAGAUACCGUCGUAGUCUUAACCAUAAACUAUGCCGACUAGGGAUCGGGCGAUGUUCUUUUCUUGACUCGCCCGGCACCUUAUGAGAAAUCAAAGUUUUUGGGUUCCGGGGGGAGUAUGGUCGCAAGGCUGAAACUUAAAGAAAUUGACGGAAGGGCACCACCAGGAGUGGAGCCUGCGGCUUAAUUUGACUCAACACGGGGAAACUCACCAGGUCCAGACAAAGUAAGGAUUGACAGAUUGAUAGCUCUUUCUUGAUUCUUUGGGUGGUGGUGCAUGGCCGUUCUUAGUUGGUGGAGUGAUUUGUCUGCUUAAUUGCGAUAACGAACGAGACCUUAACCUGCUAAAUAGCCCGACUAGCUUUUGCUGCUCGCUGGCUUCUUAGAGGGACUAUUGGCAUAAAGCCAAUGGAAGUUUGAGGCAAUAACAGGUCUGUGAUGCCCAAGG
rnacentral:rRNA from 1 species